rfam:Triticum aestivum genome assembly, contig: Triticum_aestivum_CS42_TGACv1_scaffold_147547_2BS
GGAGUACUCCCUCUGUCUGAAAAUACUUGUCAUCAAAAUGGAUAAAAAAGAUGUAUCUAAGACUAAUAUACGUCUAGAUACAACCUUUUAUUCAUUUUGAUGACAAGUAUUUCCGGAUGAAGGGAGUACUUU